AAAUUGGAAGGAUGAAUAUUUGCAUCAAUCAUCCCCUUGAUUCCUUUCUUUUCUCACCACUUCCUUUCUUAAAAAAAUCUCUGGAACACAUUUUUUACUCUCUUCCUUUUAAUUCCUUUCUCUUCCCUUAUUAAAUGAAACUCGGGAACAUAGUGUUAAGGAAUGUGUCACGUUUCUUCUGAGAUUCCAGUCGGAAUCCGAGCCGAGAUAAUGGAUGCUCUAGGGUUUAUGAAGGUUUGAUGAACUCUGCUGCGUGUACCAGCGAUACACAAAGAUCCUCUUUAAAUGGCUUCCGGUAAGACGAUUAGGGUUCCGGCGUGCUGGACUGCCAUCUCUGUCAAAAAAGGUUCCUCAAAGAUAGUGGUUGUGGGUGGAAGACGAUGACACAAGCCUUGAAUCAAAUCCAUGUUUACUCGACCUCCAUAUUUUGAGGGUAAAAGUGAAGAUGACUUCUUUGACAGGACUUAAAGCAAGUUGAAGUUUGCAUCAGAUAAGGGGAUGCGUUUAGAUGGUUGGCUGGAAAUCCUUCCCACAAACUGGAUAUAAUGGCUCAGUGUGGCUAACAGUAAGUCCUGCUGACCCUUCAGGCUCCAAUGAAUUUUACAAGAAGACAUUCAUCGAGUUUCUUGAUUCUUUUGCAUACCUUCACUUCACUGUUGAGGACAUAUGGAUACUAAAGCAAUUGGCGAAAAUGCAUCUUUGUUUCUCAUAAAGCAAGGCGCUAAAGCUGGUUUCUCAUCCUCCACCAUCUUCCUCUUUGUUAGCGCCUCAAGCACAACCUAUCACCGCCGUUGAAGACAGAUGUGCCCCUCUAAACGGUGGUGGAGGUCACACUUCUUGAUUACAUAUAUGCCCUUCUAAACGGUGGUAGAGGUCACACUUCAAGAACGGUAACCAAUAGUGCAGCUCAAAGCUUUUGUCAUCAGUUGGUCCAAAUGUGCCGAGAAUCUGCCAUGUGUGGUUCCUUGGUUGCAUUUUGUAGACUCAACGUUGCUCUUGUAGACGAUUUGUAGCAGCUCCUACAACAAACGGUGGUGGUUGGUGUCCAGACGCAUUUCUGGUGACUUCGGUUUAGGGUUCCGACAGUCUCAUUUUCUCUGUUUUGCUCCAUACACAGAGGGACCCAUUGAUGGGUAUUUAAUAUCAAAUCGUACAUACAGAGUUGCAGCAACAAAAAGGCCACUCCUUUUUAUUGGAACCGGUGAACAUAUGGAUGAAUUUGAACUAAUUGAGAUUAUGUGCAGCGAUUUAAUUUGGGAUUUUGUUUGUUGGGUAGAUAUUUAGGUCUACAUAGUUAAAAAUACCCCAAAGGAGGUAAUUCUAAUUUGCGCAAUUUAAGCGUUUAUUAAUUAAAGUUCCCUAUACAUUCUUCUAUUUUGUGCUGAUCAUGAUGGGUGUUUUAACGGAGCCAUGUGCUUGAUUUGAUUAAUCGUGGGGGGAACUUCAUCGUGGUCCGAGUCUUAGCCGACUUACAAAGGUACAUUAUUUGGCGUAUUUGACCCUCUUGACCGUUAGCUUUUUGCACCCGCUGAAGAAGAAUCUUGGGAAUGGCAGCGGUGAUAUUAAACCUGUUUGACACAUUUAGCUAUAAAGAAUCUGAUAUACACAUGUAUCUCUAUGUUGUAGGUUUAACACCAACAGAGAAGCUUUUGGAUUUGUUUCAUGGAAAAUUGGGACUAAAUGUUGACCCUAUAUUCGAUAAACUAGGCUACUAAGAUUUCAAGCUUUUGUCUAUGUUUCUGUAUAUGUUUUUUUUUUUCAAAGGGUGACCAUAUUUGUGUUCAUGAUCACUUAAAAUUCAUGCGGAACAAAACUUAUUCUU